GUUCCUAGUGUUCAAGGGAAAAAAGAAAAUCCCAUCCAGAGGCUUCCAGAAGUGUCUGAAAAUGCAAUUCUUGGGCUGCAGGAGACAUCGUCAGCUGUCUGAUAGACCUUGAGGAAGGCACUAUUGCUUUCUGCCUAAACGGCAUAUCUCUAGGAACUGCUUUUGAUAACAUCACAAGAGGUGCUGGAAUGGCUUACUUCCCUGCCAUCAGUCUCUCGUUCAAAGAGUCUGUUGCUUUUAACUUUGGAAGCCGUCCGCUUCGAUAUCCUUUGGUUGUGAGGAGAGGAGGUCUGAAGGGAGAAGAGCCUGCCCUGAGACCAUCCAUGGAGGCUGUGGAAUAUCUAUAUCUGAGUGCAGUUCACUUUCUUCUCUUGGCACUUGUGCUCAGAGCAGAUGAAGGAGAGAAGAAGCAGACAUCCCUCCACUGGACCACAACUGCAGGACCCACAUUCACCUUUGCUGGCGCCGGCAGUUGCUGAAAUUGAGUUUACUUUAAGCUCUGAGUCAACAGCUAACGCUGCAAGCUGGGGGCCGCCUGUCCCCAGGCGCUCAGAUCGUAGAAAAUCUCACUUCCCAGACCU